UAUGGAAUGGAGUGGUUCUACCUCUUAAUGAGUGUAGCUAAUCCUGAAACUUGGGCUUGUAUGGCUCUGUUUGGAUCUGCCAGUCACAUUUUCCCAUCCACCUUGACUCAGGUUUCCAUGCCAGAAACACCAUUUGAUUUACCUUCCCCAUGCUCUAACACCUACCUGAGAAGAGACAGGGGCUGCAGCACAAGGAAUGUGGAAAAGUCAGUGGAGGUUUAAUCGGAUUAAUCUCUGUGCUCUGCAUGUGUACGGAUGUUUUAUAGGUUUCAACUUCCCAGAUUCUGCUGAAGUUCAUAUUCCUGAGAGCUGAAAAGAUUUCCUACAUGGUUGUCUUCUACUGGCACCCAUAAAGAGUUAAAAUGAAGCCCACUCAUCAAAUUCAGAGUGUGAGAUUCAUUCAUCUCAGUUUUGGAAAUGGAAAUAAUACAUAUAUAGAGUAAUAAUGGUCUUUAUAUGUGGUCAACACCUGUCUGAAUGGCAUUGGACACCUGCUGACAGCCACAGGAUGGAACAAUGGAGAGUUCAUGCUUCUGGACCAGGAACUGAAGGCCAGAAGAGCAAUUUCCCCUUGAUAUCAAUUCCUACAACCCAGAAAUAUUCCCACUGGUCACUACACUGAAGGCCAAGGUGUCAGGAAAACAACAGUGUUUCAAAGAAACCCCAGCAAUAGUUUAAGUUCUGAGGGAAGAGCCGUAUAGAAGGAAUGUGCACAUACAUGUGAAAUCUGCUGAAUUAAGAUCAUGCUGAGACUGCGCAGAAAUGGAAUAUCUCAAUUUAUCUUUUAAGAGAUAAACACGAGCUGGAUAGAUCAGUUAUGACACUGUCAUAUCAACAAAAUUCGAGGGGCAGCAGAAGAUAGGAGAUCUUUAAUUUUAAGUGAUUAAUUUUAAUGGCAUGCAGACUUGCAUUAAUCUUCCUUGCACUGCCUGUCUUCCCUGGCCUUAAUCCCACAAGCACUAAAGUUCAUCUCUAGUUUACUCACAGAGGAGGAGAGCUGGGACUGGGUGCAGAGAGCACAGACCUCUGCUCAGGAAAGUUUUGCACCUGAAGAAAAGUCAAUCAGCCUUAUCACUUUCAAGAAAAUCCACCCUUUUUUUUUUUUUUUUUUCCUGACACAAUAAAGAUGAAAAGUU